AUGGGGAGAGCUGGCUACCUGCGCCUUCUACUGCUGGGCCCCGUCCAGCAGGGGCGGCCUCCGAGCCUCCGCCCGGAAGAGCCGGGGGGAGGGCGCGCCUCACUGCGGGGAGGCCAGCGUGUGGCUGGGGCCCGAGGGCAGGAUCGGAGCCCGGGGGCCAUAGGGUCCGAAGCCACCUGGGUCCCUCGGGAGCCGCCCCGGCCCCGGCGCCAUCGCCACCCCGCCCCUUCUAGGCCGCCCCUCCCCCCCCCCCCCAGCUCCCAGGCCCAGCCACGAGAGCACCCCCAGGGGCCACCAGAGUCCCCCGCGGCGAGCCGGAGACCUGGGCGGCGGCGGCGGUUCUCGGGACUAAGGCCCGAGCGGGGCGCAUCCGGGCCGCGCAAGGCGGAAGGUUUCGAGCCCUCCGAGGGGGGCCGCCGAGGCCUCACCACCCCCACCCCCCAGCCCCUGGAGCGCCUCUACUUAUUUGUGUAUUUACUCCGUCCCGGGCCAGCACGUGGUUCCCUCCAGGAGCAGAAAGUGUUUCUAAAAAUAGGAGGGGGUGGGGGAGAUGGGGGGGUGCGGAGAACAGAAGAAGAAAAACCACCGGGAGAAGGGGAAACAAGACCCUCCCGUCCCGCUCCACCCCCCGAGCCCCACUCACCCUGCGAGGAAAGCGCACGCACUCCUCUUCGUGCGUCCGAGCGCACCGCUGAAGGAGCUGCAGCCGAAGCGGGAGGAGGUCUGGCCAGGAAUCAUUGA
rnacentral:lncRNA from 1 species